rnacentral:lncRNA from 1 species
GCAUUCUGACUUUAAAUAGACAACCAAUCAGUGACCUGAAUUCAUGUGAACUAUAUUUAGCCCAAGGUAAACAUUGACUUUUCAUCCUUGUUUAUCGUGACCGCGACUUUGCGUGACAAUAUACGUCUCUCGGCUGCCUGUAAACAUUUGAAAAAGAUAUUUUUUUCUUUUUGAAUUUAUAUUUUUGGCAGUGAAGUAGCCGGCACUUGAAAGCACCGUAAGCGGCGGAUUUCCGCCGGCUACCGGCUUCAAUGGAAAGCCCUG